AAGAGGAGAGGAAAGAGAAAUUCGUUCUGAUGUCAUUCUUUCAUACAGCAUUCUUUCCAUGCAAUAACUUUUUCUAUGAAAUAGGUUAUUUACUCUAAAAAGACCAUUUCUUUGGUUAUCUGCAUGGGUAAUUGGAUUUAUCUGAAGGCUUUGUAGUUCAGAGUGUGAAUGCUCACUAAGUUCAUGGCGCUGCCUGGAAGGAAAGCUGAAUUAAGAGCAAAAGUGGCCUGGUUGAGCCUCUGAGAGCUUGGUUGAUGUAAGAAACUUCCAAACCCGUAAAGAAUUUUUAUGAUGUUUUUUUUUGAGCCAAACUAACAACCUAUGCUGGGGAGCAAGAUCUCAAAUGUGCCCCAAAAUGGCAGUGAUGCAGUUUAUUUUAUACAUUAGGAUCAAAAGAGAAGAUGUGAGGAAGGUAAAAUCCAUUGGUGGUGGAUUAAAGAGGCAGGUGAAAGCAUAAGGAGGAAAUCUAUAGGAUUGGAUAAAAGGCAAAAUGGAGAAACACAUACUUCUUCUACAUUGCUUCUAUGGCCCAGCAUCUGCAAAAGUGCCCCUUACCUGAAACCCAGCUUAGGAGGUCUCUCAGCUAAUAGUUCGAUCUUCCAACCUACAUCUACUAUAAAAGAAAGCCUGCUACUCGUCAUGCAUUGAUAAUCCCAAAUCCCAGAGAUGUGAAGUACAAUUCCUGCUCACAAGUUGUUUACAAUUUUGUUGAAAAAUUUGUUUAUGUUGACACAUUUAAAAACAAUGUCACACGGGAAAUACACACAAAAAGACUAGAGAAAGUGAGAUCUCUACAGGCUGCAGCUAUCAGAGAGAAACUUCAUGGGAAUGGUAAGGUUUGAGCUUGGCCUUGAAAUAAAGAAGGGAUCUGGCUACAAUAGGCCGGUAUGGCAUAGUAUAAAUAGAAGGAACUUUGGGAACAGAUCAUCUUGGUUUGAAUUCUGCUUGGCUACUUACAGUGUGACUUCAGACUAGUUGCUAAACCUCUCUGCGUCUCAGUUUUCUCUUAAGAAAACUGGGCCGAGAUGCAUAAUAAGUGCUGAGUAAGUCAUAGAUUUAAUUGGGUGGAAGAGUGUGGAAAGAACUUUAGGCAACUGCAGGAGCUGAGCAAAGGUGUGGAGCACAACAAGGGAACAGGAUCUGUGGAUAAAAAUGAGGCUACUGAUUGGCUAGAGCAAAAGAUAAUCUGGAGAGGAGUACAACAUAAGGUUAGAUUAUAAGAGAAAAUAGAAAAUGUGUA